AAUAUGUGCGUUGGGGUAAUUUUUAAGAAUAGCAUGGGACAACGAAGACGAAAGCUUGAACAAAACAAUUGAUUAACACAUUAACCAUCAAAAUUUUAUAGUUAUGCAAUAUAUCAUCAACGAAUAAAAAUAAAAUCUACCAGUGCUAAUCAACAAAAAAACGACAUUUGAGAACAUGUUUUUCCAAAUAGAGAAUCGGUGUCACUAAAUUUCUAAUAGAACAGAUGCAAAAAAAAUACUGAUCUCGAGAACUUAGCAAAUAUGAACAACCAUUAAUUCAACAAUAACGCGAGACGACAUAUAUAACAAACCUUUUCCUUCUGACUGACAACAAACUCCUAAUAAUAACGAAAGAUACACAUAUGAUU
rnacentral:misc_RNA from 1 species